ACGCUCGACACCUACUGGAGGCAGCAGUCGGGAAUAUUGCGCAAUGGAGGGAACUCUGACGCAGUGACGCCGCGUAUAGGAAGAAGGUUUUCGGAUUGUAAACUAUUGUCGUUAGGGAAGAGAAAGGACAGUACCUAAGGAGGAAGCUCCGGCUAACUACGUGCCAGUAGCCGCGGUAAUCUGAGCGGGCUGGCAAGGC
rnacentral:rRNA from 1 species